rnacentral:rRNA from 1 species
UACAGAGGAGCCAAGCGUUGUUCGGAAUCACUGGGCGUAAAGCGCACGUAGGCGGAUAUGUCAGUCAGGGGUGAAAUCCCGGGGCUCAACCUCGGAACUGCCUUUGAUACAGCAUGUCUUGAGUCCGAUAGAGGUGGGUGGAAUUCCUAGUGUAGAGGUGAAAUUCGUAGAUAUUAGGAAGAACACCGAUGGCGAAGGCAGCUCGCUGGGACGGUACUAACGCUGAGGCGCGAAAGCGUGGGGAGCGAACAGG